UGGAAGCAAAAUUUCACCCAUUUGGUAAAUCACCAUUUACCUGAAAGGCUGAACCUAUCGCAACCUUUUACGUUGUGAUGAAGAACUACAUUAUAUCUUGUGCAGACAAAAGGUAAAAUUGGUGCAUAUCUUGCCGCGGGAAGGACAUUGUAACGCAAAGGAAAUGAGAACGGAUCCUCUUAGGACAAUGUUUUUGCCGUAGGAACCUACAGCAGGAAAUAGCUGUCCUGAACCAUUUACAGGGCAGAAAAAAAAUUCAAAGGCGAGAAUUUAACAAGGAAUCAUGAGGCCAGCAGUGAGUUCUGAGAUUUUUAUUUUUGCGAAAGUAACUAUGUAGAGCAUCGCGGUUUCUAAGUCUUCACAUGCAAAAUUCUAAGAUGCAGGAUGCCUAUCAAUUUGACCUGAGAGGCGUAUAUGUGUGCAUUAAGUAAGAGCUUAUGUGGAAGAAAAGUUAAACUGCUCAAGGAAACAUACAGUUGAGAAAAUAAAUUCACUCCCCCCUCCCCCUUUUCGUACCCGGAAAGACUCUUUUAUCCAAGUAGAUGUAGGAACAAAAAUUAUCCUGAUUUAUGGGGAAAUCUAUGUAAAUAGAAAGAAAUAUUUAUGGUAAACACCGAAUACAUGUUGUCGGAAUCCAGACACCAUAUGUAUCCAGUAAAGUGCAUACAUGACAAAUCAAAGGCAAGAAUCUAAUGGGCCAUCAGACUCAACUUCAUAGAAAAAAAAACAUGGGUACCCAUGUUUAUAUUCCAUUGAACAUUAAAAAUAGCAUCAGGAGGCCAUUAAAAUUAUUAUGACUUCACUAUGUAUAGAAAAGGAACAUCAAAAAAAUAUCAAGAUAAACCGCAGCCCAAGAUAUCACUUAAACCGCAUCCCAACCAAAAAAGAGAUGAACUGUAGCAUGCUAAACCUCCACAUCAUUAAUUUGUUCAGAGGCGGUGCUUCAGAAAAAGGAGGGAAAUAUAUCCGUGUUUUGUUUAGUUCACAGAACUUGGCACCAUAUUGCUAGAUUAUUCUCUGUCAAGAUUCCGUCGCACACAAUUUGAAAUCAACAUUCAUUGUGCGCCUUUGGGUACUGCAGAGAAUGAUCUAACGAAAGCGAUCACCUUAAGUCUGAUUUAAAGCUAAUAAAUAUCAGAAUAGCAUAACACAACAUAAGUUAGAGUGCCUCUAAUUAACUUAGAAACAAACCUCAAUGACCAGAUCCAGUUUUAUAUUUGUAGUACAGUAAUAGCCACAGCACAAACACCAAAAAGAGUAGUUCUGUAAGGAUUUCUAAGAAUCAGAAUUGUUUUGGAAACACCAAAAUCAUUUUUUUGGGGCUGAAAAAAAUCUCAAAUCUUAAUAGACAUGUACUUUUCAUUUUUUUAAGGAAUUCAUAUUUGCAGUACAGCAGUAGUCACAGCCAAACACUAAAAGAGCCAACCAUUAUCAAAAUAUUCAGUCUUACACUACUUUGUGGAAGCAAAAUUUCACCCAUUUGGUAAAUCACCAUUUACCUGAACGGCUGAACCUAUGGCAACCAUUUAUGUUGUGAAGAAAUACAUCAUAUGCUGUCAAACCAUUGAGUUGCAAGACACUUAUAGUCACACCACAAAACAGUAAACCGAUGUGAGCACAUUUCGAACUCAGCAUAUAUUAUAUUCAAUUUAUUUAUCAAACGAGCCAAUUACAUUCUAACUUGUCGACUUUAAUACAUGAAUUGGACUCUGUCCUACAAGAACAUGGCCCAUCACUUGGCAUAAACACAUCGAAAUAGUUCUGGGCUGAUUCGACUCGAACCGGAAGAUAAAUAGAGGAGAGGAGGAACUCUUUCUACAAGACUUGGAAGAUUCAACUAGAUGACAGCGAGGUAGAAGAACUCCUGGCCAUCAGCACCUCAUCUUCCCUGGCUUCGCCUUCCAUGUGUGAUUUAGCAAGAGUCGAGCGAAGGAUCGGGUGUUUACAGAGCGGACAAGGUGAAAGGAGAGGUUUUUCGGUCUGCCGAUGAACUCUUCAUAUCGUGGCAAGGCGCAAAGACGAGAGCAGAAAACAUAAAGCUAAGGAAAGCCUUUAGUCCCAAACAAGUUGGGGUAGGCUAGAGGUGAAACCCAUAAGGUCUCACAACCAACUCAUGGUUCUGGAAACAAUGCAAGAUAGGGAAAACUAUGGUUUUAUUCAUAUCGUGCCGCCCUCCACCCACUCUCCGGCUUACAUACUGCCGUGGGCCACGAUAUUACAGGAAACAACUAUAGUACUAAGCACUAACUGAAAAUGACCAGGCUAGCUAACUAAAGAAACUGACUGACAUGACCAUGCUAGCUAACUGAAGAAAGUGAGUGACAUUCCAGCACAUCCCCCUUGACUUCUGACUUGAUUACUUGUGGUAGCCUCGCCUCCUCGACGCCGCAGUGUUCCGACAUUACCAGAAAAAAUAAGAGAAAAUAGGUUAUUCAUAUGAUCUAGAAAGAAUACUCUGCAAUCCAAUAGACACAAACAGGCUGACCUUCUUCAGAGACUUGGGCAAGCAGGCCUCAGGAUUUAGCAUCGAUGGACUAGAAGAUGGUGAAGUAAACCAGCUCCUCGACAGACAAAGCCUCGCGCUCCAGAAUGCCUUCGUCUUCUUCCGCGGCAACCUGCUGAACCGCCUCCUCGGCACGGCAGUCCGGCGCCUCCGUCAUCACGAUGCAGCCGCGGCGGCAGGAAGAGGAAGCCGGACCUCGCCGGCGGCGCAGGGCGAGCCUGCGGUCGGAGACCGCCGACGACGACGAGAUCCUCGUCGGCGGAUCUCUUCUUCCCGGCGAGCGAGAGCUGGUCCACCAACGUGAGCGUCACGCUCAUGCCAUGGAUGUCGACGCACGCCAUAUCCGGCACCGGCGGAUGAAUCGGCGAAAUCGAAAUCAAAAGUGGAUCUUUGGAGCAGCAAAGGGCGCGGGAGGAAGAAAGAGCGAGGGAAAGGGGAUUAGGUCAGGGAUUUGGGAUUUAUCGAUCUGAAAUACGCCUUUUGCGUAGAAUACAAGCUAAUACGACCUCG
rnacentral:lncRNA from 1 species